AGUGAACGCUGGCGGUAGGCCUAACACAUGCAAGUCGAACGGCAGCACAGUAAGAGCUUGCUCUUACGGGUGGCGAGUGGCGGACGGGUGAGGAAUACAUCGGAAUCUACUUUUUCGUGGGGGAUAACGUAGGGAAACUUACGCUAAUACCGCAUACGACCUACGGGUGAAAGCAGGGGAUCUUGGAACCUGCGCGAUUUGAUUAAGCGAUGUCGGGUUAGCUUGGUUGCGGGGUAAAGGCCCACCAAAGCGACGAUCCGGUACUGGUCUGAGAGGAUGAUCAGCCACACUGGAACUGAGACACGGUCCAGACUCCUACGGGAGGCAGCAGUGGGGAAUAUUGGACAAUGGGCGCAAGCCUGAUCCAGCCAUACCGCGUGGGUGAAGAAGGCCUUCGGGUUGUAAAGCCCUUUUGUUGGGAAAGAAAAGCAGCAGGUUAAUACCCCGCUGUUCUGACGGUACCCAAAGAAUAAGCACCGGCUAACCUCGUG
rnacentral:rRNA from 1 species